UCGUCGAUCUGCUGCGGACAGAUGAAAUGGAUAUGGCUGUCGAAGCCGCCGGCGGUCAGGAUCCGCCCCUCGCCGGCGAUCGCCUCGGUGCCGGGGCCGAUGAUGAUGUCGACGCCGGGCUGGGUGUCGGGAUUGCCGGCCUUGCCGAUCUUGUGGAUGCGGCCGUCGCGCAAUCCCACAUCGGCCUUGUAGAUACCGGUCCAGUCGACGAUCAGCGCAUUGGUGAUGACCGUGUCCACCGCGCCCUCGGCCCGGGUCGCCUGGGAUUGGCCCAUCCCGUCGCGG
rnacentral:sRNA from 1 species